rnacentral:rRNA from 1 species
UUUCUUUGCGCCGACCUCAGAGCAAGUG